AGACAGAUGUGGAAACUGAGGCAAACAGAAUUAAGUGUCUUGCUCAGGAUCACACAGCUACUGUCUGAGGCCAAAUUUAAGCUAAAGGAGGUGCCAAAUAAAUGCUUAUUCCCUUCUUCCCUCCCCCUACCUCCUCACCUGUGAUUUCAUCAGUUUAAGGUCUAGGGUGGAAAUUCUCCUGCUCAAACAUUGUUGGGCAACUUUUCUAAAACAAGUUCUUAGAUAAUAGAUUUAGAGCUGAAAAGCCCUAGAGAGCUCAUUGAGUCUCACCCACUCAUUUUACAGAUGAAGACACUGGGGGAUUGACAGGGUCUUUGAGCUACUCCACUAAGUGACAGAACUGAAAUUUGAACUCUGCCCUCCAGAUCAUCCCUGAGUGCAGCAAGUGCCCCUAGGAGGUCAAGCUCACCUGGUGGGGCCAUAGUGGUACUGUGCUUGCUCCGCAUUGAGGAUAAAAAGAAAUGCAAACUUAGUCUUUAAUCUUCAGGAUUCGCCAUUCUCAUGGGAGAAAGAGACGACAUGUACAACCAGUUAUCUGUUCCCGGUCAAGAAUGCCACGUGAUGAAAUUCACCAGAGAUGUUUGCCAGCAAAUAUAUUGACCCAAUUACAGAGCAUCCAAUGGGAUCCUUCCUCAUUGCCAUGGCACACAGAGAGAGCCCCAGUAUCACUGCGUAACAGAGUGUCCCCAGGAUGUCUUUGUGACCCGAUUAAUUCUUGGCAUGCUGGCCCAGCCAUCUCAGAAAAGAGCAGUGACAAUACUCUCUUUAGCUUGAGGAAAAAAACAUGGCAGCAGAUGGUACCUUUAACAGAUGACAGCAGCAACUUGGUGAAGAAGCAAUAG
rnacentral:lncRNA from 1 species